AGGUGAGCCGGGACAGCCUUCUUCCUCCGCCCAGCCGCCACAGUAAUUUGUCGUCAAGUCUGCCACAGGAGGAUAUUUUGUUCUGGGUUAACCUGCUUUUCUACCUCGCAGGUUGUUUAUCAAUAUUGUGUAAUUUUAAUUACUCCUAGAAUUUCUGCAUGUGUUAGCAGUAUUUAUUUGAAUUUGGUCUGUAAUAUUUUUAUCAUGUUGGACCUGUAAACUUAAAUAUGUUAUGCAUGUUGAUGGAUUGGAUGAGGGAGCUGAGCUCCCAUUUAUUUUAUGUUGAUGAGUAUGUGGAGGGUGAGCUGAGCUCCCCAAUUGAGUA